rnacentral:rRNA from 1 species
CCUACGGGGGGCUGCAGUGAGGAAUAUUGCGCAAUGGCCGAAAGGCUGACGCAGCGACGCCGCGUGAGGGAUGAAGUCCGUUAGGAUGUAAACCUCUUUUGCAGGGGAUGAAUGUCUCGCUAUACGCGGGAUUGACCGUACCCUGCGAAUAAGGAUCGGCUAACUACGUGCCAGCAGCCGCGGUAAUACGUAGGAUCCGAGCGUUGUACGGGGUUACUGGGGGUAAAGGGUGGGUAGGUGGGUUCCUGGUGAAAUCCCGCAGCUUAACUGCGGAAUUGCCUUCGAUACUGGGGAUCUUGAGUACGGCAGAGGGAGAUGGAAGUCAUGGUGUAGCGGUGAAAUGUGUAGAUAUCAUGAAGAACACCGGUAGCGAAGGCGGUCUCCUGGUCCGUAACUGACACUGAUGCGCGAAAGCGUGGGGAGCGAACAGGAUUAGAUACCCUUGUAGUC